GAUGAACGCUGGCGGCGUGCUUAACACAUGCAAGUCGAACGAAGAAGCCCUGCUUGUUUCCUUCGGGACUGACUAUCUUGUGAGUGAGUGGCGGACGGUCGACUCACGCCUGGGUAAUAUGCCUUGUACAGGGGGAUUACUGUUGGAAACGGCUGCUCUUUACGCUUAUGCGCACAGCGUUGCUUGAUUCAGUGUGUAACGCUCGGCCUGUCUAAGGUGGACCCGCGUUGGUUUAGCUAGUUGGUGAGGUAACGGCCCACCAAGGCGGCGAUCCAGAGCCGACCGGAGAGGGUGACCAGCGAGAUUGGGACUGAGACACGACCCAUACUCCUACGAGAGGCAGCGGUGGGGGAUAUUGCACAAUGGGCGAGAGCCAGAUGCGGCGACGCCGGGUGAGCGAAGAAGGAGUUCGAUAUGUAAUGCUCUAUCAGCAGGGAAUAUUGUGACGGUACCUGGCUAAGAAGCACCGGCUAAAUACGUG
rnacentral:rRNA from 1 species